rnacentral:lncRNA from 1 species
AAUCAAAAUUGCCAAAUUAGGAAAGUGAAAAGACAAGUGUUACAGACAUUAGAAUGAAAAUAGUUUACAUCACUUUAGUGUGUCUCACUGUCUUCUCUGUCUAUCUAAUAUGAUAUAUACUAUUACAACCAGAAAUAUACCAGCACAGAAAUCACAACUUGACUUAACAUUAAUGCAGCGGAAUUCGACUUUCUUUUUCACCUUCACCCGAGUCAUGACUGAACCGUGAUGUCUGGGUUGGUCUCCUUGGACAAUUUAAGAGGCGUAACUUUAGGUGCUUCAUUGCCCUGUUUGAUUUUGGUGGUGCGGUCCGUAGGUUUGCUGAUGUUGCGGCCCUGAGUCUGCUUGAUUGGACUUGAAGUAGCACUCCCGGGUUUGUAAGUGCCAAUGCUGUGACGUACCCGUGAACAAAGAGCCUUCUCGUUGACGGUUGGAUGAGGGGGGGCAUCACCACAACUCUUUCUCCUACUUAAAUUGGGUGACUUGGGACGGGUCAGAGGUCCUUGACGGUAAAAACUGGGAACGGGAUUUGCUUUGACAACCAUGCUCUUUCUGAGCUGUUUUAUAGCUUCUUCUUGCUCCUCCUGCCAUUAUCAUUUGUCAACAGUUUUACAAGACAGAACCCGAUAUUGGUUGACAAUAUUGUAA